CGCUAUCACUCCUACGGGAGGCAGCAAGUAGGGAAUCUUCCACAAUGGGCGCAAGCCUGAUGGAGCAACACCGCGUGAGUGAAGAAGGUUUCGGCUACGUAAAGCUCUGUUGUUAAAGAAGAACACGUAUGAGAGUAACUGUUCAUACGUUGACGGUAUUUAACCAGAAAGUCACGGCUAACUACGUGCCAGCAGCCGCGGUAAUACGUAGGUGGCAAGCGUUAUCCGGAUUUAUUGGGCGUAAAGAGAGUGCAGGCGGUUUUCUAAGUCUGAUGUGAAAGCCUUCGGCUUAACCGGAGAAGUGCAUCGGAAACUGGAUAACUUGAGUGCAGAAGAGGGUAGUGGAACUCCAUGUGUAGCGGUGGAAUGCGUAGAUAUAUGGAAGAACACCAGUGGCGAAGGCGGCUACCUGGUCUGCAACUGACGCUGAGACUCGAAAGCAUGGGUAGCGAACAGGAUUAGAUACCCUGGUAG
rnacentral:rRNA from 1 species